AGAAGUUUAAGUUAACUCAAACUCAGAGCCUUCAAAGCUCUAAACAGGGUCACACCCUAACUUCUG
rnacentral:tRNA from 1 species